UACGUAGGGGGCUAGCGUUGUCCGGAAUCAUUGGGCGUAAAGAGCGCGUAGGCGGCUAGAUAAGUCCGGUGUGAAAGUCACAGGCUCAACCUGUGAAUGCCGCUGGAAACUGUCUGGCUAGAGUCCGGAAGGGGCGAGUGGAAUUCCUGGUGUAGCGGUGAAAUGCGCAGAUAUCAGGAAGAACACCCGUGGCGAAGGCGGCUCUCUGGUACGUGACUGACGCUGAGACGCGAAAGCGUGGGGAGCAAACAGG
rnacentral:rRNA from 1 species